UUUCCCUACGGGAGGCAGCAGUGAGGAAUAUUGGUCAAUGGUCGGGAGACUGAACCAGCCAAGCCGCGUGAAGGAAUAAGGCCCUACGGGUCGUAAACUUCUUUAGUCAGGGAACAAAGGGAGCCACGCGUGGCGCUGUGAGUGUACCUGAAGAAUAAGCAUCGGCUAACUCCGUGCCAGCAGCGGCGGUAAUACGGAGGAUGCGAGCGUUAUCCGGAUUUAUUGGGUUUAAAGGGUGCGUAGGCGGUUUGUCAAGUCAGCGGUAAAAAUUCCGGGCUC
rnacentral:rRNA from 1 species